rnacentral:rRNA from 1 species
AGUGAACGCUGGCGGUAGGCCUAACACAUGCAAGUCGAACGGCAGCACAGUAAGAGCUUGCUCUUACGGGUGGCGAGUGGCGGACGGGUGAGGAAUACAUCGGAAUCUACUUUUUCGUGGGGGAUAACGUAGGGAAACUUACGCUAAUACCGCAUACGACCUACGGGGGAAAGCAGGGGAUCUUCGGACCUUGCGCGAUUGAAUGAGCCGAUGUCGGAUUAGCUAGUUGGCGGGGUAAAGGCCCACCAAGGCGCCGAUCCGUAGCUGGACUGAGAGGAUGAUCAGCCACACUGGAGCUGAGACACGGUCCAGACUCCUACGGGAGGCAGCAGUGGGGAAUAUUGGACAAUGGGCGCAAGCCUGAUCCAGCCAUACCGCGUGGGUGAAGAAGGCCUUCGGGUUGUAAAGCCCUUUUGUUGGGAAAGAAAAGCAGCAGGUUAAUACCCCGCUGUUCUGACGGUACCCAAAGAAUAAGCACCGGCUAACUUCGUG